GUGGAUUAGAUACCCUGGUAGUCCACGCCGUAAACGAUGGGUGCUAGACGUUGGCGAGCUUGCUCGUCAGUGUCGCAGCUAACGCGUUAAGCACCCCGCCUGGGGAGUACGGCCGCAAGGUUGAAACUCAAAGGAAUUGACGGGGGCCCGCACAAGCGGUGGAGCAUGUGGUUCAAUUCGACGCAACGCGAAGAACCUUACCAGCCCUUGACAUGUGACUCGCCGGGAGCAGAGACGCUCCCUUCGGUUCGGCCGGAGUCAACACAGGUGCUGCACGGCCGUCGACAACU
rnacentral:rRNA from 1 species